GCAGCUUCUCCGUCAGGCCUUGGGCCAUGGCCUCGCUACGCAAUGCCAACCCGAGGCUGAAGAACUACUUCAAGGAGAACUACAUUCCUCAGGUCUGCGAGGCCCUGUUAUGUGGUAUACUUGUUACAUGUCCUGAGGAUCCGCUGAGGUAUUUAGAGGGAAUGAUCAUGGUUAUAAUCAAAAGUGGUCUUCAGAAUCUUCUUUGGUAAAGAAAGUUUUUAUGGUUCACCGAGGAUAAUCAACUGCUUCACAAUCUAGAACCUAAAGACUGGAUCUUUUGAGAACAUCAGAGAAAGACUGUGCUUGCCAUCCACACUGCAACAAAACUUUGGAACCUUGAACUUUGAGUUCAUAAUCUCACAACUGAGAAGGGUCCCUCCACACUCUUGGAACUGUACACCCAUUGGAACCCUUAAGAUGACUCCGGAAUUGAUGAUAAAAGCCUGUAGCUUUUAUACUGGACAUUUAGUAAAGACUCAUUUUUGAUAUGCUAUUGCGGAUACAACAGAUCAUCUAUUGUCACAAGCUAACCAUUAUCCUAACAAAAUGGCGGAAUACAGCAAGACAUAAGAGUAAAAAGAAAGAAGAUGAGCUGAUAUUAAAACAUGAACUUCAAUUGAAAAAAUGGAAAAAUAGGUUAAUACUCAAAAGAGCUGCUGCGGAAGAAUCCAAUUUUCCUGAACGAAGUUCUUCUGAAGUCUCUCUUGUAGAUGAGACUCUAAAAUGUGACAUUUCACUGUUACCUGAAAGAGCAAUAUUACAGAUUUUCUUCUACCUCAGUUUAAAAGAUGUGAUAAUAUGUGGUCAAGUUAAUCAUGCCUGGAUGUUGAUGACACAACUAAACUCACUGUGGAAUGCUAUUGAUUUUUCCUCAGUGAAAAAUGUGAUUCCAGAUAAAUAUAUAGUGUCUACUUUGCAAAGGUGGCGUUUAAAUGUGCUGCGUUUGAAUUUUCGUGGUUGUCUUCUCCGACCCAAAACUUUCAGAUC
rnacentral:sRNA from 1 species